CUGCUGCCUCCCGUAGGAGUAUGGACCGUGUCUCAGUUCCAUUGUGGCCGAUCAGUCUCUCAACUCGGCUAUGCAUCAUCGCCUUGGUAAGCCGUUACCUUACCAACUAGCUAAUGCACCGCAGGUCCAUCCCAGAGUGAUAGCCAAAGCCAUCUUUCAAAUAAAAGCCAUGCGGCUUUUAUUGUUAUGCGGUAUUAGCAUCUGUUUCCAAAUGUUAUCCCCCGCUCCGGGGCAGGUUACCUACGUUG
rnacentral:rRNA from 1 species